rnacentral:RNase_P_RNA from 2 species
GCAGCUCGAAAGCCGCAUUUGCUCGCCACGCACGUGCCGAUUUACUCGGCGUCUCGCGAGCGGGCUAAGGUCUGAGCAUUCUAGUCCCCUUGUACGUGUGUCUAGCCGGCACCGGCUCCAACAGGGCCGAGCAGAGUAUCAGACAUGCGCUCGGUGCUGCUUGUUCCGCCCAGAGACCCGCAAGGGGAGGGCACAGCAGCACGUGAGCUUGGAACAACUCUGCGGGGACAGAGCCGUCUACUUGCCUCCCCGUCCCGAGUCUCUUUUUGUCCUCUUUCCCACCCGUGCGCUAGCCUCGAGAACUAGCGCCCAGUUUUUUCAGAGACUGAGCAUCAUGCAUCUGACUCUUCCCUCGCUCCGCAAGGCACGGAGCAGUGUACGGCCUGGGUUGGCUUCUGGGCGCCGAUCGAACCUGGGGAUCUCACAUCGCUACGACUGGCGCGGCAGCGCUGAGCACUGGGACUCCCCAUGCCCGGCAAAAUGCUCCGCGUACAGGUAACGAGCUCUUGUUUUCCUUUUAUUUCCUGGAUAUUCCUGGAGAGGCCACGCUGGUGGUUCGAUUGGUUGCGGUGAUCGAGGAGGACGAUCGGUCUUGGACGGGGAACGGGCGGCUCUUGAGUUCACUUUGCGGCUCGCAGUCAUUCGCUUUGGCGAUUGCGAAACUCGAUUCAGACUACUCUU